CCUACGGGUGGCAGCAGUGAGGAAUAUUGGUCAAUGGGCGAGAGCCUGAACCAGCCAAGUCGCGUGAGGGAGUACUGCCCUAUGGGUUGUAAACCUCUUUUGUCGGGGAGCAAAAGCCGGACGUGUCCGGCUGUGAGAGUACCCGAAGAAAAAGCAUCGGCUAACUCCGUGCCAGCAGCCGCGGUAAUACGGGGGAUGCGAGCAUUAUCCGGAUUUAUUGGGUUUAAAGGGUGCGCAGGCGGAUUUUUAAGUCAGCGGUAAAAUCGUGGGGCUCAACCCCAUCCAGCCGUUGAAACUGGGGAUCUAGAGUGUGCGAGAGGUAUGCGGAAUGCGUGGUGUAGCGGUGAAAUGCAUAGAUAUCACGCAGAACCCCGAUUGCGAAGGCAGCAUACCGGUGCACAACUGACGCUCAGGCACGAAAGCGUGGGUAUCGAACAGGAUUAGAUACCCGAGUAGUC
rnacentral:rRNA from 1 species